UGUGCCUGAUUAGAUGGUCUUGUUAUGAAGAUUUAAAGAAAACCAUCCUUUAGUCCAUGCUCCAUUGUAAUGAAGUUUAUGUGUGUCUGUCCUUCAGACAGGGGAUUCACAACCUGAAUCCCCUGAAAAUAGAGCUCACACACAAAAUGUGUUUAUUGAAUGGAAUGGAUGAUGAGUGAAAGUAGAUAAUUGCUGGUGAUGGAGAGAAUGGACCGGAGAGGGAGACAGCCUGAGGAAAUGGCACCUGGUGAAGUUUGAAUAAUGGAUGAAAGAAAAUUAGAGGUAAAACUCCACUGCCUCUAAUCUGCAGAAGUGGAAUCGUUUCUUCAAUUGCAGGUUUCAUAUCACCUGCCUGGCCCUCAGCAGGGAAGCCACCAAGCUUACUGUGCUGCUCCGGGAUCCUCACAGGCUGGUGUGGAACAUCUAGCAGAGAUGCUGGGGAGAUCCAUAUUUCACUUGCAGGAAUAGACACACUAUUUCCUUUUGGCAUAGACAAAGGCUCUUUCAGAUGUGAAGUUUCUAUCCACCAUGAAACACAAAUAUUUAAUCCUGACAUAUACAGAAACCAAGCAAGAAUAAAACUUUAAUUUCUAAGAAUAUGAAAUGAAACCUAUACAUGAUAUAAAAAUACACAGUGGAAGGUGUUGUGAGGUGCAGUGCAGUGGAUUUACCUGCCAUAAGAAGCACUCUGAGGAUAGAAGGAUUCUGAUUUAAAAUGAAGACAGCACUCUGGAACGUCUUUAGGACAAAAACCUAACGGGCUACCUUCUAGCAACACAUCAUUUUCAUUGUCUUACAGCCAAACUGAAGGUCCCGAAGCAAAAUAGAUCAUCUGGGUCUACUGUGUGAAGUGGCAAUAGUGGCAAUAUUGCCAAGAGCAGCAAAUCAAUAACUAUUUAUAAGUAGAUUUAUCUGAUUCAUUUAUCAUCUAGAGUAUGUGACCCUAUUUAUGUAUGUAUACCUAGCUAGUUGUGGAUGAAAUGCUGAAAUAUGAAUUAAAAAAUAAACUCAAAUGCUCUCCA